GGAAGAGUGGCCGAGCGGUUUAAGGCACUGGUCUUGAAAACCAGCGAAGGGGUAACCCUUCCGUGGGUUCGAAUCCCACCUCUUCCGCCA
rnacentral:tRNA from 1 species